AGGGAACACAGAGAAGGUGUUGGUGCAGAGUCAAAAACAGUGUCUGGUUGGUUUUACCUUGAGGUUGGGUAACUCAUGCAAUAUGAGUUUGUGACCAAAAAUUGAAUUUAUGAGACCUGUGACAAACAUCUUGGGAUCACAUGGGUAAAUGACAGGAUGACAUCAAUGUGAAAACAACAGAGCAGAGAGAUUGGCAGAAACCAGGAUACCAUGUCUGCUGCUCUUUCUUCAAUGUUGUAUCACCUCACUUUGGUCAACACAUUUCCUUUGACGGAUUUUUUUAGAGCAGACCUUCUGAAAUACUGUACCUCAGCAUUUGUCCUCUCCGGAAGCCGUAGCCGGGCACUACCUUGGAAGCAGAGAGACCAGGCUCUCACCAGCUAUCACCUUGGUCUUAAAGUUCCCAGCCUCCAGAACUUAAUCCACUGGGCUGGCCUCAUCCUGCAAGUUCCAAUGAGCCCUCUGUAGAAUGUGGUUCCAGGAGCUGUUACGUUUUCCAAGACUCUACUGUGCUAUUUGAAUCUGCCUCAUGUGUGCCUCUCCAAGCAGUCAGUCUGGGACCUGAGUAGUGGGAACUUCUCCUGGACCUUUCUCUGUCUACAUCAAUGUUGAUUUUAUGUUGAGUUUCACUGAGUUGAGGUGAACGGAAAACCAGAGGGGGAAAAAUGGUAACCUCGCCAUACAUCCUAAGUCUUCUUUCUCAGUCCACCUGGUACUAUUUAUAUUUUUUAAUUGUAGUAAAAUAAACUUAAUAUACAAUGUAGC
rnacentral:lncRNA from 10 species